rnacentral:rRNA from 1 species
UCGAACGGUAGCAGGCCCUUCGGGGUGCUGACGAGUGGCGGACGGGUGAGUAAAGCGUAGGAAUCUACCUAGUUGAGAGGGAUAGCCUAGGGAAACUUAGGGUAAUACCGCAUAAGACUUAAGAGUGAAAGCAGGGGACUGUAAAAGGCCUUGCGCGACUAGAUGAGCCUACGUCGGAUUAGCUUGUUGGUGAGGUAAAGGCUCACCAAGGCGAUGAUCCGUAGCUGGUCUGAGAGGACGACCAGCCACACUGGGACUGAGACACGGCCCAGACUCCUACGGGAGGCAGCAGUGGGGAAUAUUGGACAAUGGGCGGAAGCCUGAUCCAGCAAUGCCGCGUGUGUGAAGAAGGCCUGCGGGUUGUAAAGCACUUUCAGUGGGGAGAAAGAAGUUCAAGCUAAUAUCUUGGAUGGAUGAUGUUACCCACAGAAGGAGCACCGGCUAACUCUGUGCCAGCAGCCGCGGUAAUACAGAGGGUGCGAGCGUUAAUCGGAAUUACUGGGCGUAAAGGGUGCGUAGGUGGUUAAAUAAGUUAGGUGUGAAAUUCCUGAGCUCAACUUGGGGACUGCGCCUGAUACUGUUUGGCUAGAGUACUGUAGAGGGAAGUGGAAUUUCCGGUGUAGCGGUGAAAUGCGUAGAUUUCGGAAGGAACAUCGGUGGCGAAGGCGACUUUCUGGACAGAUACUGACACUGAGGCACGAAAGCGUGGGGAGCAAACAGGAUUAGAUACCCUGGUAGUCCAUGCUGUAAACGAUGAGAACUGGCUGUUGGGCACGAUAAGUGCUUAGUAGCGAAGCU